CCAUCAAGUUUGGUGUUUAUGACGUCGAAUAUCGACGUCAUAAACACCAUCAAGUCUGGUGUUUAUGACGUCGAUAUUCGACGUCAUAAACACCAUCAAGU
rnacentral:miRNA from 1 species